AAGAGGUCCAGCCUGCCCAGUGACUCUGUUUAACGGCCGCGGUAUUCUAACCGUGCGAAGGUAGCGUAAUCACUUGUUCUUUAAAUGAGGACUAGUAUGAAUGGCAUCACGAGGGUUAUACUGUCUCCUUUUCCAAAUCAGUGAAACUAAUCUCCCCGUGAAGAAGCGGGGAUAAAAAUAUAAGACGAGAAGACCCUAUGGAGCUUAAAACUUUCAACAAUUAUAUUUUAUUUAUAAAUCUAAAGGUAAUCAAACUAAUCCUUAUAAUAUGUUUGUUAGUUUUCGGUUGGGGUGACCGCGGAGUAAAACCUAACCUCCAUAUUGAAUUAAAUUAUUUAUUAGCAAAAAACUACAAUUUUAUGCAUCAAAAAAUUGACAUUAUUGACCCA
rnacentral:rRNA from 1 species